AUGACGAAGAACGAGAAGUCCCUCAACCAGUGCCUGGCCGAGUGGAAGCUCUUCAUCUACAACCCGACCACCGGAGAGUUCCCGGGGCGCACCGCCAAGAGCUGGGGUUUGAUCUUGCUCUUCUACCUAGUUUUUUAUGGGUUCCUGGCUGCACUCUUCUCAUUCACGAUGUGGGUUAUGCUUCAGACUCUCAAAGAUGAGGUUCCAAAAUACCGUGACCAGAUUCCUAGCCCAGGACUUAUGGUUUUUCCAAAACCAGUGACUGCAUUGGAAUAUACAUUCAGUUGUCUGACCCAACUUCCUAUGCAGGGUACAUUGCAGACCUUUAGAAGUUUCUAAAACCAUAUACUUUAGAAGAACAGAAGAACCUCACAACCUGUCCUGAUGGAGCACUUUUUGAACAGAAGGGUCCAGUUUAUGUUGCAUGUCAGUUUCCUCUUUUGUUGCUUCAAGCAUGCGGUGGUAUGAGUGACCCUGAUUUUGGCUAUUCUAAAGGAAAACCUUGUAUUCUUGUGAAAAUGAACAGAAUAAUUGGAUUAAAGCCGGAAGGAGUGCCAAGGAUAGAUUGUGUUUUGAAGAAUGAAGAUCAAACAAAUAUAACAACUUAUCCUCAUAAUGGAAUUAUAGACUUAAAAUAUUUCCCAUAUUAUGGGAAAAAACUGCAUGUGGGGUAUCUACAGCCAUUAGUUGCUGUUCAGGUCACCUUAGCUCCCAACAGUGCUGAGGAAGAAGUAACAGUUGAGUGCAAGAUUGAUGGAUCACCUAACCUAAAAAGCCAGGAUGAUCGUGACAAGUUUUUGGGACGAGUUAUGUUCAAAAUCACAGCACAUGCAUAGUAUGAGUAGGAUAUCUCCACAGAGCAAAUGUUGUGUUGUCUGUCUUCACUUUGUAUCAGCUGGACCUGCCAUUCUAGAGUUGAGACCACCUUGGAGAAAGGUGUGUGGUACAUGACACUGGGUAACGUCAUAACAUGCUUCCAGAUCAUAGUGUUCCGUGUCCUCUGAAGUAACUGCCUGUUGCCUCUGCUGCCCUUUGAACCAGUGUACAGUUGCCAGAUAGAGACCGAUGAAUACCUGAUUCCAAACAUGUAGGAUGGGGGUCUUGUCCUCUUUUUAUGUGGUCUAGUUGCCAAAUGUCUAAAGCCUAAUACGCUGUGCUAUGUAAAUAUUUUAUGGAAGUAACGCCGGUCAACUAUCAUACUUUGAUGUCAACAAAAUUUUAGGGAUAAAAUGGUACCUGGCCAACAUCAAGUGACUUCAUGGCUGCAAGAAGUGCGGUGUGUGCAGGAGUUCUGAGGAAGGAAA